UGGGAGAUCGUCUAAUGGUAAGACUGCGGCCUCUGGAGCCGCGUAUCGGGGUUCGAGUCCCUGUCUCCCAGCCA
rnacentral:tRNA from 1 species